AAUUGUAGUAUCGGUGAAGAUGCCGAUUACCCGCAGUGGGACGAAAAGACCCUGUGCACCUUUACUAUAGCUUAGUAUUGUUCUUGGAUAAGUGAUGUGUAGGAUAGGUGGGAGACUUUGAAGUGGCGUCGCUAGGCGUUGUGGAGUCAUUGUUGAAAUACCACCCUUUGCUUAUUUGAGAUCUAACUUCCGCGAGGAAGGACAUUGCUUGGUGGGUAGUUUGACUGGGGUGGUCGCCUCCAAAAGAGUAACGGAGGCUUCUAAAGGUUCCCUCAGCACGCUUGGUAACCGUGCGUAGAGUGCAAUGGUAUAAGGGAGCUUGACUGAGAGACAAACAAGUCGAUCAGGUACGAAAGUAGAGCAUAGUGAUCCGGUGGUUCCGCAUGGAAGGGCCAUCGCUCAACGGAUAAAAGCUACCCCGGGGAUAACAGGCUUAUCUCCCCCAAGAGUCCACAUCGACGGGGAGGUUUGGCACCUCGAUGUCGGCUCAUCGCAUCCUGGAGCUGUAGUCGG
rnacentral:rRNA from 1 species